AGGCAAGCCCUAUAAUCCAGGAGUUAAUUCACCUAAAUCUUCUAGCCCCAAUUAAUCUCUCUCCCCGCAUACCGAGCCCCAACCAAACCCAGCCGCUCGCCGGAGCCUCCCCAGCCUCGCCGCCUUCUCCCCCCGGUCGAAUCCGCCGCAAUCACGCGCCUCCAAUCUCACUACCAUAGCGCCGCCCCUGCCGGACGCUGUCGACGACGAAUCAGGCCGCUCCUCCCCGACCUCGUACGCGGCACGGAUGACCUCCCACGUCGUCGGUAUGGUCCAGCGGCAUGUAGGCCGACCUGCUUCCCGGCUCCAAUGUCAAAGACGGCGACGGACUGGCGCUGGCCGAUCCGCUGCGCGCGCCGGCUCGGGAUGGACCCAUUGACAUGGACAAGAAGCCGUUGCCGGCGAGGGAGAUGGAGUCCCUCCUCCAUGGCUCCGGUCCAUCUCCUCCUCCUACUCCAUGUAUUCCUGCUGCUGCUUACCACCGGCCAUGUCCCCGACAUGCUGCUGCCGGCGGACUCCGCAACCAGCUGCUGCCGCGCCCGGUAAGGUUCAAACCAUGCCGGGGAUGAAUGGCACCAAGCCACGGGUACCGGGAGAUGACUUCGAGGGGGAACCAGAGGAGCAGGCGGACGUCAUCGGCGACACCCACAAGUGCUGACGCGAGCCGCAACGGCGGCUGCUGAUCGACAGGUACUAGUCGUGGAGAGCACCUCAGCUCCAAGAAGGUUCAAAUCAUAGCUGCGCGUACCAGGAGGCAUUGUUUUUAGGAGGGACUGCUUGUGCUUCCCGGUCUUCGAUUUUGCCGCAUGCAUAGAGCUGCUCUUUGAUUGUUCUCCUUUUCUUUUCAAAUUUAUUAUCUGCUCUAUGCAUAGUCACUUGAUACAAGAUUUCUCAAACUUGUAUGUUUCUUGUCUUUUUUGUUUCAUUGAAAACAGCAUCUUAAUCUGCGGCUUGCAAUUUUCCCUAACAAGUAGCUAUUUAUUGGAAUUUGAUAAAGAAUAUAUUUUUGGAUGCUUUGAUUAGAGUAGGUAUUAUGGAGUGAUUGCUUAUUUUCCUUACUCAUUUUAGGUUUAAGAAUAAGAUGAUAAGAACAACAUCUGGCUUUAUUAAUUGUAUGCUAUGAUUUGCUUUAUGGCUUUAAUUUGGCAGUGAUAUGCUCUGAUUUUUCUGUUGCCCUCACUUUUCUUGUGAUAUGCUAUGAUUUCCUAGUUUUUUUUAUGUACAUGCUCCGCCUGCCAUAGUUGUAUGCUCUGUCCUUUAUUGUUGCACUUUUUACAUUUAUGUUCAUGCUUUGAUUUUGUGUGCAAUGUUGAUUCUUCUCGAUCUUUUGUUGAAUAAAUAAAUGGGCAUUUUGCUGCUUAAUUAGAUCGACGUGCAAAGAUAAUGGUAGUUAUAGUUACCUAUCUAGCUAGUAAACAAGGAUAUCUAGAUAUUGAUUCUGGACUAGUAAUGUUUCACAUGAUAAUCUUUGAUUGCUCCGUGUGAAUAAAUCUACACCUGCAUGUUUUUUUACAAAUGCAGUACCACUAGUAUUUCUGAAUAAAUGAACACUUUGAGUAUUGUGUUCUAAUUAUUCUCUUCAUUUCUGAUUGUUGAAUUUCUAGCUUGCACAUAUCCUAAACUUGUAAGGUGCCCUAGAGAUGAUAGAGGAAAGGGUGGCGGGUUCAGCUUGACUUCCUCCACUUGGACGUCGGGGACAAGAACGACUAUGAGAAUGUCCUCAAUGAGGUGACAGCGGUGAUGGCGCCUCGGUUAGAUGAAGGAAUGUCAGGGCGCCCAGGUAGAGGACGGUGACUUCCUCCUCCUCCACUUGGAUGAUGCCGCCGCCGGGGACAAGAACAAACGACUAGAUUUUCUUGCUGCCACUUGUCCUGAAUAUGGACGGUGCCUUCGAUCUGAAAAAUGGGUGGCCGAGCUGCUGCUGCUACUUAGGCUUUGAUACGAUGGGCUGCUGUUGUUGACCACUUCAACACACCGGUUCAGGGUUGGGUGAAGUGGUGCUUGUAGAGCCCACUGCCGGUGGUGGCGGUGAUGGCUUCGUGCAUGAAGGUCUAGGAGGGUGCCUAGGUACAUAACGACGACUUCCUCCUCCACUGGGGCGCACGCUGCCUCCUGGGACAAAAACAAACCACUAGGUGCCUCCCGCUGCCUAUCUUUUACUGAUUGAUUAUUCCAUGGCUGCCCGUCUUGCAACACAAUCUUGUUUGGUGGUUGGUAUCUUACUUUGUUGCUUGUAGGUUGGGGUCUUGAAUGUUUGUUUUUAGUAUACUUAAGUUCAUACACCUCUUUGCUACAUAAAUGGGAUUGUUUCUAAUUAAUUGUAUGUGUUAAAUUGAAUAUAGUAGUUCAUCUAUCGAGUAAACGAGAACCUGUAUACUAAUUCUGGAGUCAGCAUGUUGUACAUGAUAAUCUUAGGUUCCUUGUGGCAGAAACUAAAUUAAUGUCCUCUUGUUGUGAAUAAAUCUCCACUUCAUGCAUAUUUACAAAGGCAGUAGCACUAGUAUUUCUAGAUACAUUAACAGUUUGAGUAUUCUACUGUAAUUAUUCUCUUCAUUUGUGAUCACAAAAUUUCUUGCUGCCACGUUUCCUCAAUUUGGAGGGUGUCUUAGAGCUAAAAAAAUGGGUGGCGGUCGGUUGAGGACGAAUUCAUCCACUUGGACAUUGUCGCGAACAAAAAUGACUGUGAGUUCAUAUGCAGAAGGCUGUUGCAGUUUUAUGGUGCUGGAGGUUAGCGGUGAAGAACAAGGACGCACUAGGAGGAGGGAGGCUGCAGGAAUGGCGGUGGGGAGGCAAUCUUCUGCCCGAGCUGCAGCUGCUGCUGGCAUCUACGUCCCUGAGUUGUUGCCACCCUGACCUGCGAGCAUCUGUGUUGAUUAAGUGAAGAAACCGGUUGCUUCCCAUCCCUGAUCCAAUUGUUGAUCCAUAGGGAAUCUGGAAGAAACACUUGGGAAGUCCUCCUUAAUCCGAACUUACCAAUCAUGUAUGACCACCACUCUCGCGGCACUGCUGGCCAUCCUCAUGUGCCUUUGUUCUCAGUGGUGGUCUUGGUUGUCCAUUGGCUUUGACCACCUCCUUGGCGACGCAACCACUAUAGCGGUUGCGUUCACUCCUUCCGCCGAAAUUGCGGUUGGAGCUGUUGCUACUGGCGUCUUCUGGCAACCAUGAGCUACUGCAUGAUUCAGACAUAUUUUUCAGGGUGCCCAUGCUGCAGGUGUGCCUCAAGGCCUGGCCCGCUGAAUACGAUCGAGGAUAGAAUCGGCUGGCGGCGAGCAUGGCCCUUGGGUCCCUUUCUGGUUCUUGUCGGCUCCUGGAGACACGCAAUAGUUGUCCAGCUUGGGGAAGAAGUGAUGGGGGCUUCAGGUGCAUGUUUUCGGGUACCCAGGUGGUGCCCAGUCCACCUCAUACCAGUGUAACCCAAGUGUGGAUGGCGGCAUUAGAGAGAACCCAAUACAUUGACCUCCUAUUGUGAUGAGUGGCCAUCUUGCAUGCUCAUUUGGUAUUUUUUUCAUGUCUC